GUACAAGCCUGACUUGUGAGAAUGUAUCGCAAAACUGUUGUUUUUUUGUUUUGGUAUUUUCGACUACGGUCACACUGUCCCUGUCUGCAAAAUAUUUUAAACAAAAAGUGCUUUUAAUUAAGUAAUUUUGCCAGCCAUUGUUUAUAUUUGUGAUGUUGUGAGGCUGUUUAACGGUUGUGCGACGACCUUGUUCGUUGAGAUAACGGGUUAUUGCAGUUUUUCGUGGCCUUAUAUCGCUAGCCCGCUCGCUCCAAGGCAUUCGGCAUCUUCGACCUUUUGCUUCUGCAUUUCCACACACUCCCGCACUUUACACACACAAUUAAUACAUUAUUUUUGCGCUGGCAUUAUAAGAAUCGAGAAUGUACGAGUGCUGAUAUUUUGGCAGCGGUUGCAACCCGCCCCAUAACCGAUUUGUGCAACAUGCGGCAGGUGGGGAAUGGUACUGCUGCUGCUCCUAUCGCAGAGUUCUUCUUCUUAUCUAAAAUCCAGCCAGGAAACAAAAACAACAAAGGACGCCACCAGCUGCAUGCCCACGCCCACGCCUACGACCACGCCUACGACCUUAGCACCACCCCCGCUGCCUACGCCUUUGUUUUCGAUUUAUAGUAGUCAUGCCAACAACAACAACAACAACAACAAUAACAACAGCAACUACAACAAAAAUCGAAGAAAAAAUUGCCGGAAUAAGGCAAGAAAAUUGCGAUACGCCAAUGGCGACUCCAACAAAAACAACAACAACAUCAACAACAACAACAACAAAGGCAAGGCAAGAAGAAGACCAAGAAGCUACUGUGGCACCGGCAGUAGCGGCAUAUACUGCCACCAAAACGGCAGCCAUCUCAAAGACAACAAUUAAAAAGGCCACCGAGGAUCAAGUGGCCCAACAGCCGACGGCGACGGCGACUGCGACUGCGACGCCAACGCUGCUGCCACUGCUUGCAUCGGCGGCUGCAUGCCACAAGCCGUUGCUCUUUUGUAGACGUUUCCAGGAUAAACGGAACUUUAGUUCACUUCCGCUAUUCGUUUAUGCCACAUCGCCGUCCACGCACGCCCACUCGGCCGACGGCGUGGGCGUGGCCAAGGAGGCAGCCGCUUUCAGCCACAAGAAUGAGGCCUUCGAUCUACCCGCAACGCAUGGCAUCAGCAAAACGGACGGAAGCUGCAUCAGCCACCACAGUCAAAGUAACGGGAACGGAAGCGGGAAUCAUCAUCACCAUCUCGUUGGACCCUUGCGCACCACUGACCUGGCCAGCGGGGCCAUGGAGUGCCUGCCGAUGAGCAGCGGUGCCCACCAUCCCCAUCUAAUGGCAAGCGCAGUGGCGGCAGCGGCGGCGGGAGGAGCUGUGACAGCGUCGCCCACAGCGACCGUGGUCGUAGGGGCCACAUACCCGCACCACCUGCACCACCACCACCAUCUUAGCCACCAUACGCCCUAUAGCAACAGCUACGGCAGCCAUCACAAUAUCCACAGCGAGCAGACCAAGUCGCUGCAGGAGCUGCAGCACGAGGUCGGUGCCCUGCUGGAGUUCCGGGAUCUGGUCAUCGAAACUUUUCCCGAUCUCAAGCACAAGAUGGCCUCCAUGUCCGCCACACCAUCGACACCCACCUCUUCGGUAGGGGCCAUGGGUGGCAGUCACUCGGUGGGUGGCGGUAGCUCCUCAUUAGCCACCAGCAGACGCGAAUGGGAGCCAGGCAUACGCAUGAAGCGAAAAUUGUCGCACAAGGAACCGUCCACGUCGUCGGCGACGGCAGCCAACUCCUCCUCGGGGGCGGAGGCUUCGUCCUCGUCGCUGACACGCAGCCGUAGCAACUCGCACAGCGGCAAAAAAGAGCCAAAGAGCGGAGAGAACAACAACGGGAGCGUUGUCCAAGACUCCGGCUUCUCAACGGAGACCAGUUCCUCCAAGGAGGGCCACAGUGCCUCCUCCACCAACGGUGCUAUGACGCAGGUGGCCAUAGCGGCGAAUCGCCUUAGUUGCGCGGAAUCCGAUGAUGAGCUGCUUAACCUGCUGGACGUUAUACACCGCAAGUCGAAUCGCUUACGCGAGGAGGUGGAGCAGCUGCAGAGUUACGAGCGUCAGCAGGAGGAUGGCCAGAAGGGGGGCGAGAGCAAGGGAAGCGGCUCCAAGGCAAUGACGCCCCAACAGUUCCGCGAGCAGGUAGAGCGUCUUAACCGCGAGGACAUCAAACAGCUGCGCAAGGAGCGCGAUAGAUUGCUGGACAAGCUGGCCGAAAUGGAGGCUGAGACUCUGACGGGGCGCAUCAAGGCGGCGAAGAUGAGCGACCAGGUGGAGGAGCUGAUCGGCGUUAAGAAGGAUCUCGAGGAGCAGCUGAAGCUGGCCAUGGCGCAAAAGUUAGAGCUGAGCUCGCGGGUGCAGCAACUGCAACAGAUGCAGCAGCAACAAAGCAAGAGCUCUUCCAGCGCCAGUCAGUCGGAUUUCUCCAGUCAACGCAACUUUCUAUCCUCAGCCACCACGGUGCUCUCCAAUGGCAGUCGCCAAUCGGCUGGCAAUAGCAACACCAACAGCCACAUCCACAACACAUUCCAGCCGGUCGUCCUUGAUCAGCCAGCGCAGGAAGCAUUCCAUCAAAGCUCCAGCAGUGAUAUAGCAACCUUGAAGAAACAGCAGCAGCAGCAACAGCAGCAGUCCUUGGGUCGCCUCGAUGGCAUUGUUAGCACGCCGGGGGCGCGCAACUCCAAAUGCCGGCUAACAGAUUCCAAGCGCUUUGCGGCCAUUCUGCUGGAGACGAAUGUGCUGGAGCUGCAGCGACACCUGCUCACUCUGUCCGUUCAGAACCAAGUGCUGGCCCAGAAGCUGGAGUCGUCCAGCAAGUCCAAGACGCAGCUGACCAAGCGGCUGGACAAGAGCUUCGAGGAUUCCGAGCAUCUGCGCUAUCAGUUGGAGGAGAAAAACAUCGAGUUGGAGGGCACCAAGGCGCAGCUGCGCCUCGUGGAAUCACGCCUCCAGGCGAGCAAUAGCACCACCAAUUCGUAUUUGAACUCCUCCCAGCAUGAUUACGAGACGAAUCGCUCAUCGGCUUCCACCACUCUGAUGUUGAGUCGUCGCGGAGUCUCGGAUUCGGUGGACUCCACAUCGACGGCCAUGCCUGCCCCGCCAGUUACGCAAAUCAGCACGCCCAGCAUGAAGGCCAUGGUGCCGCUGGCCAUGGAUGAACUUCAGCAGCACAGCAGCAGUACAGAGUCGGCGCAUGAGCACGAGAAUCAGCAACAGCAGCAGCAGCAAAAGCAGCAGCAAGGCAUGCGAACGCCGAACUCCACACUGAGCAAGACGAUCACUGCGAGUCCUUGUCCCGUGGGUAGCAGCACACCCAGUAGUAUUGCUGCCCGUGUGAUGAGCACCAGUGUGGGCGGAGUGAGUCCGUUUGACUCCUCAAGCACCACCGGGCGGCAAAGUGCGUUCCGCAAGUUUAACAGCAACAGCAAGCCCAGCAAGAUCCCACUUCCGGGUAGCAAAGCGGCAGCUUAUUUUACGGGCAAACCACCAACCGGCAGACCUGCGACGGCGGGACGAUCGCCCCCAUCGGCGCACAACUCCAGUAGCACCUCAUACGGCAGCAAAUCCUCGCUAAGCCGAAGCACCGGCAAUCUGCAGAGCUUGAGGAGAGCGGACACAUCCGCCUCGAACCAUUCGCUGAGCACCAAUACGAGUCGGAGCUCAACCUCGUCUUCGAUUCCACUGGCCACCACACCCUAUUCAUCCGGAUCGACUGGCGGUAAUCGCAGCCAGCCGACCGGUGCAACAACUCCGUCCCCGCGUGUGCUCCAGAAUUCGCCGCUACCGAAGCUGAAACGGGAUACGAUCAGUUCGCGAGUGCGCCACUUAGACUCGCUGUCGAGGGAGGGCGGAGGAAAAGGCGGCAUCACUGGCGGCUCCAUUGCCGCCCAGCUAAGUUCGACGCUGCGCAAGGAUCUCCAGCUGAGCGGGAACUCCGCCGCGGGUGCACCGUACCACCACAGACGCAGUGCCCAUUCGCCGGCAUCCAAUUCGUCGGCCAGUGAACGGGGCCCGGCGCUGGGCGUGUCCAGGCGGUACAGUAGCGCCUCGACGGGGGGCAACGCUGGGCGAACGAUCGGGAGGGAUCAGGGCGAUACUCUGGGGCUAGCCACAACGCCCACAUCCAGCUUUGGCGACAGUGAUAGUGGCAAGCCCAAAAUGUAACUAAAACCAUUGUGAAAACAGAAAACAAACCACUACUCUUCCUAACAAAAACACAGAGAAUAUAACCGGAGUUGGUAUGGAAUGGCAGAUGUAUGAGGACUUGAGGUGGUGAACUGAUUGAUUGAUUGACUGAUUGAGUGAUAUGUUGGUGGUAAAAGCAAAACAAUUUCGACUGCAUGCAAAACAUAAAAAGAACAACUGCGACUGGAGUUUUUGGUAUCGGACAGCCACAGAUAAACUAGCGAUGGCCAAACUAUAAUAAGGAUCCUUACCAGCGCCCUCGCCCAGUUCAUCCUUACCAGCUAAGAUCAGCUCAGCUCAGCCUUGAAAUGAAAACAAUAAAUAAAAUAUAUACAUAAUAUAUAACUCAGCUCAGCCAAAGCUCAGACAUCAGUCCCGAGCGUGUUAUGUUGUAUAUUGUUUGUCUGUUUUGUUUUCGCCAAAAAGCGCAGAGACAAUGCAGUAGACACUUUGCCGCCAUUCGUUAUACGCUAUUUGGCCAACCCACCCGUUGAAAAGCCAAAUUUCCGUCCCCAUAACCAAAAUUGGCAAAUCUGGCAAACGAAUACGAUUGACGAG
rnacentral:misc_RNA from 1 species